GGACCGGGUGCUGGGUGAAAGACUGGUCCCUGAUGAAUGGCUUUUGAGCGACGAAUGGUGUAUGGAUCAGUAGAGUGUGAAGGGGGAGGUCAUAAUGUUGCGCCCAGGUGACUUGUGUGGUUUUCGGGGCAGUGUCUGUGGACUCAUGGCUUCCACUGGUCCAGAGAGCGUGCCAUAGUAACUUCCUGAUCCACACCUGGACAACCAAAGGGACCAAUGGAGACACCAUGAUGUCAUGUCUCCACACCAC